GCUGGUCAUCCAUAUUUUUAAAUCUCUAGUACAUUGUUCAGUAGAGUCGACUAAAAGUGGUAUUUGAUCGAAAUCAAUAGACUUAUAAAUUUGAGUGUCAUCAGCAUAAAGAUGGUAAUUCAUGCCAUAUUGUCUUAAAAUAUCAGCAAUAGGUUGUGUAUACAUUGUAAACAAGACAGGUCCAAGAACAGACCCCUGAGGAACACCACAUCUAAGCAAAACAUUAUUAGAACACGUGUUUCCAACCACAACUGCUUGUGUUCGAUCCUUAAAAUAUGACUCAAACCAUUGCAGGACAGUACCCUUUAUGCCAAAAGUAGUAUUUAAUCUCUCGAGUAAAAUGUCAUGAUCAAUGGUAUCGAACGCAGCCGAAAGGUCCAAAAGAGUAAGA
rnacentral:sRNA from 1 species